rnacentral:misc_RNA from 1 species
ACUGAAGAAAGAGGACCUGUUAUAUAACCAGGGUCAAGUUCUGUAAUCGCAGAAAGACCGCUAUCAGGCCGCGACUUGCAUUCAGGAUGGUCUGUUUGAUUGUAAGGAUCAAGUAGCAUACACUUGAGCCAACAAUUUACAGCAGAAAGAAGUUUCGUGCUGUCGAGCCAGACGAGGUCAAGAGGGUUAAAAUCCAGAGGAGAAUAAGGGCAGUCGAGGAAAGACCAAGCUCU